rnacentral:rRNA from 1 species
AACGAACGCUGGCGGCAUGCCUAACACAUGCAAGUCGAACGAGACCUUCGGGUCUAGUGGCGCACGGGUGCGUAACGCGUGGGAACCUGCCCUUAGGUUCGGAAUACCUCCCCGAAAGGGGUGCUAAUACCGGAUAAUGUCUUCGGACCAAAGAUUUAUCGCCUUUGGAUGGGCCCGCGUUGGAUUAGCUAGUUGGUAGGGUAAAGCCUACCAAGGCGACGAUCCAUAGCUGGUCUGAGAGGAUGAUCAGCCACACUGGGACUGAGACACGGCCCAGACUCCUACGGGAGGCAGCAGUGGGGAAUAUUGGACAAUGGGCGAAAGCCUGAUCCAGCAAUGCCGCGUGAGUGAUGAAGGCCUGAGGGUUGUAAAGCUCUUUUACCCGGGAUGAUAAUGACAGUACCGGGAGAAUAAGCUCCGGCUAACUCCGUG